rnacentral:snRNA from 1 species
GAUUCCCUUCUGGGAUCAUCCGAUAAAAUUGGAACGACACAGAGAAGACUGGCAUGGCCCCUGCGCAAGGAUGACACGCACAAAUCGAGAAGUGUACCAAGAGAGC